rnacentral:rRNA from 1 species
ACUUUAAUUGAAGAGUUUGAUCAUGGCUCAGAUUGAACGCUGGCGGCAGGCCUAACACAUGCAAGUCGAGCGGUAACAUUUCAAAAGCUUGCUUUUGAAGAUGACGAGCGGCGGACGGGUGAGUAAUGCCUGGGAAUUUGCCCAUUUGUGGGGGAUAACAGUUGGAAACGACUGCUAAUACCGCAUACGCCCUACGGGGGAAAGCA